CAGUGACCUUGAAAUCAAAUCAAAUCAAAUCAGCAAUCUCUCAUGGACUUUUCUAUUUUAAUAAGUUCAUCAUUUAUCAUUCAGUCAGAGCUGCAUUGAAGA